rnacentral:rRNA from 1 species
CAGUCGCCGCGGUAAUACGGAGUGUGCAAGCGUUAAUCGGAAUUACUGGGCGUAAAGCGCACGCAGGCGGUCUGUCAAGUCAGAUGUGAAAUCCCCGGGCUUAACCUGGGAACUGCAUUUGAAACUGGCAGGCUAGAGUCUUGUAGAGGGGGGUAGAAUUCCAGGUGUAGCGGUGAAAUGCGUAGAGAUCUGGAGGAAUACCGGUGGCGAAGGCGGCCCCCUGGACAAAGACUGACGCUCAGGUGCGAAAGCGUGGAGAGCAAACAGGAUUAGAUACCCCAGUAGUCCCUGUCUCUUAUAC